GAUGAACGCUGGCGGCGUGCCUAAUACAUGCAAGUCGAGCGAACAGACUAGGUACUUGUUCCUCUUACAUUAGCGGCGAACGGGUGAGUAACACGUGGAUAACCUACCUUUAAGACUGGGAUAACUUCUGGAAACCGGAGCUAAUACCGGAUAAUAUCUUUAACCGCAUGGUUCAAUAUUGAAAGACGGUUUUGCUUUCCCUUAUAAUUAUAUCCGCGCCUCAUUGGCUAUUUGGUAAGGUAACGGCUAACAAAGGCAACGAUCCUUAGCGGACCUGAGAGGUGGAUGGGCAACACUGGAACUGAGAAACGGUCAAAACUCCUACGGGAGGAAGAAGAAGGGAAUCUUCCGCAAUGGGCGAAGGCUGGACGGAGAAAGGCCGCGUGAGUGAGGAAGGUCUUCGAAUCUAAAAACUCGGUUAUUAGGGAAGAACAAAGGUGGAAGUAAAUAUGCACGAAGUGACGGUACCUAAUCAGAAAGCCACGGCUAACUACGUG
rnacentral:rRNA from 1 species